AAUGAACGCUGGCGGCAUGCCUAACACAUGCAAGUCGAACGAGACCUUCGGGUCUAGUGGCGCACGGGUGCGUAACGCGUGGGAAUCUGCCCUUGGGUUCGGAAUAACUCGCCGAAAGGCGUGCUAAUACCGGAGGAUGACGUAAGUCCAAAGAUUUAUCGCCCAAGGAUGAGCCCGCGUAGGAUUAGCUAGUUGGUGGGGUAAAGGCCCACCAAGGCGACGAUCCUUAGCUGGUCUGAGAGGAUGAUCAGCCACACUGGGACUGAGACACGGCCCAGACUCCUACGGGAGGCAGCAGUGGGGAAUAUUGGACAAUGGGCGAAAGCCUGAUCCAGCAAUGCCGCGUGAGUGAUGAAGGCCUUAGGGUUGUAAAGCUCUUUUACCCGGGAUGAUAAUGACAGUACCGGGAGAAUAAGCCCCGGCUAACUCCGUGCCAGCCGCCGCAGUAA
rnacentral:rRNA from 1 species